CCUACGGGAGGCAGCAGUGGGGAAUAUUGGACAAUGGGCGCAAGCCUGAUCCAGCCAUGCCGCGUGUGUGAAGAAGGCCUUCGGGUUGUAAAGCACUUUUAUCCGGAAAGAAAAGCUUUGGGUUAAUACCCUGAAGUCAUGACGGUACCGGAAGAAUAAGCACCGGCUAACUUCGUGCCAGCAGCCGCGGUAAUACGAAGGGUGCAAGCGUUACUCGGAAUUACUGGGCGUAAAGCGUGCGUAGGUGGUUUGUUAAGUCUGAUGUGAAAGCCCUAGGCUCAACCUGGGAAUUGCAUUGGAUACUGGCAGGCUAGAGUGCGGUAGAGGAUAGUGGAAUUCCCGGUGUAGCAGUGAAAUGCGUAGAGAUCGGGAGGAACAUCUGUGGCGAAGGCGACUAUCUGGGCCAGCACUGACACUGAGGCACGAAAGCGUGGGGAGCAAACAGGAUUAGAUACCCUGGUAGUCCACGCCCUAAACGAUGCGAACUGGAUGUUGGGUGCAAACUGGCACUCAGUAUCGAAGCUAACGCGUUAAGUUCGCCGCCUGGGGAUUCGGUUGCAAGCUGAACUUCAAGGAUUGACCGG
rnacentral:rRNA from 1 species